GACGAACGCUGGCGGCGCGCCUAACACAUGCAAGUCGAACGAGCGAGAGAGAGCUUGCUUUCUCGAGCGAGUGGCGAACGGGUGAGUAACGCGUGAGGAGCCUGCCUCAAAGAGGGGGACAACAGUUGGAAACGACUGCUAAUACCGCAUAAGCCCACGGCUCGGCAUCGAGCAGGGGGAAAAGGAGCAAUCCGCUUUGAGAUGGCCUCGCGUCCGAUUAGCUAGUUGGUGAGGUAACGGCCCACCAAGGCGACGAUCGGUAGCCGGACUGAGAGGUUGAACGGCCACAUUGGGACUGAGACACGGCCCAGACUCCUACGGGAGGCAGCAGUGGGGAAUAUUGCACAAUGGGGGAAACCCUGAUGCAGCGACGCCGCGUGGAGGAAGAAGGUCUUCGGAUUGUAAACUCCUGUUGUUGGGGAAGAUAAUGACGGUACCCAACAAGGAAGUGACGGCUAACUACGUG
rnacentral:rRNA from 1 species